UGCAUCAGAAUUAUGCUGGAGUAGACUGCGAGAAGGUUCCAUUCUUUCUAUCGGUGGUUCUCAACGACUCUAAUAAUCAAGACUUUCAACAGUACAGAGCCAUCUUGUGGCGAAAGAUGGGUGCCGAGAAGAUGUGUUUAUCUCAUAGACUUACACAGGGAAAACCUCUAACGGCCAAAUCUAUUUUGAGUAACUUUCAGAAUAUGGACAAGCUAGAAAAAGGUCCUCGAGAGAUCGUCAAUCCAGACUUACAAAAGGUAU